CUGGCGGUGGGAAAUGUGCCCCUCUGGGGAGGGAGGACUGGGCGGGAAAGGCAAAGCCCCUCAUCGCACUCUGGGCAGCGGUUCUCAACCCCUCACAAAGUCAAGCACCACCGAGGUCGUAGCCGUGAACUUCAGGGCCCUGGAAAUGAACGCGGGCAUGUUUCAAGCAAGAGCACCCAGCACAGUUGUCACACAGCGCGUGGUUCGGAGAAGCCUCUGUACCCGGGCGAACAGGCGGGACAAAGUCAAGGCGCUGGAAUUACUGUGAAAACAAUUUUGACCUUGAAGGCCUUCUGAAGGUUUCUGCGACCCCGGGGUGCCUGCACGGAGCUUAGGGGACCUCGAUCUGGGCAGGGCGGGCGGCCAGGGUGCAGGUUCCCACCCCGGCUCCACCCGCUGCGCGACAGGCAGGUGGUGGGUGGCGGAGCCGCUGCGGUCAGGUGCUCGCAGGCGCAGGCGCUGCGCGGCGGCCUCCUCGGCUGCCACCCUGCCGCUGUCCAGCUCCAGGCGCUGAGGCGGCCCGGGUUGGUCCAGGGACCCGCCGUCCUUACGGGGUGCCGUGGCGGGUCUCCUCCUGGGUGCCUACAGUGACUCCGAGUGGGGCUGUGAGUGGGUCAGAUGGCAGGCCUGCCCCUGCUGUGUGCACCCAGCUCCGCGUGCCUGUGUGAGUGUGGCCUUGGUGUGGAAGUGGGCACGUCCGCCUGUGGCCGUGUGGGGUGUGGGGAGGACGUGGUGGGGUGUCCCGGAGCCCUAGGGAGGGGGUCGUGUGCGUGUGUGUGUAUACGUGUGCCCCUUGAGCCCGCUUGUGCCUGCAUGUGUGUGUGCGGGCAUGUGUGUGUGUGUGUGCGUGCGUGUGUGUGCAUGGGUGCAUGAGCUCUGCCUGCGCUGCUGGCUGGCUGCCUGGAGUCAGGACUGAGCCACUGGGAAACCCGUGGGCGGCUGGAUGCAGGCGGCUCUGGGCAGCUUUCUUGGCCAGUCCUGCAGCCGCCCGAGGCCCUGCUGGGCGGGUCGGGGUGGAAAGGAGUCUGGAGUCCGCAGAAGCCUCCUCCUUUCCUGGCUUCACCUGCUCCUCCUGGUGUCUCUCCGUGGAGUCGGCGGGGAGGAGCCGCGGAAGCCGGGGCAGCCGUGACUGCACCAGGAAGAACAGCUCAGGCGUGGGCACGUGGGCUGUGAGCCCAGCCGAGAUCGCUGCCAGCACAGAGGUCCAAUCCACCCCGCGUCAGGGCCUGGACCAUGGGCCUGAGGUGUGGGUGGGGGAGAUGCCAAGACCAGAAGGAGGCUGA
rnacentral:lncRNA from 1 species